rnacentral:rRNA from 1 species
UACGUAGGGGGCUAGCGUUGUCCGGAAUCAUUGGGCGUAAAGAGCGUGUAGGCGGCUCGGUAAGUCCGCUGUGAAAAGUCCAGGGCUCAACCCUGGAAUGCCAGUGGAAACUGUCGAGCUAGAGUCCGGAAGAGGCGAGUGGAAUUCCUGGUGUAGCGGUGAAAUGCGCAGAUAUCAGGAGGAACACCAAUGCGAAGGCAGCUCGCUGGGGACGGUACUGACGCUGAGACGCGAAAGCGUGGGGAGCAAACAGG